CUUAAAAAGAUAAGUUUUUAAGAUUACGCUUAAAAGUGUUAAGACCUAUACUACAUUUUAUGGUUUCAGGAAUGUCAUUCCACAACUUAGGUGCAGAGACAGAAAAGGCGCGAUCGCCAUAAGAUUUCAACUUGGAGCGAGGAAUCACUAACAAGUUCUUACUCGAUGAUCGCAAAGACCUAGUGGGCUUAUAAGUUUCUAACAAGUCACUGAUAUAACUAGAGCAUAAUUUAUUUAAAGCUUUAAAAGUAAAAAAUAAGAUUUUGAAAAUAAUCCUCUGCUCCACGGGGAGCCAGUGCAGUUCCCUCAGAAGGAGUAACGUGAUCAUGCUUGGGACCAAAUAAGAUCAGCCGUGCUGCACAAUUCUGGGCUAAUUGCAAUCUAUGAACUAAAUGUUUCGGAAGACCAUACAACAGAGAAUUACAGUUGUCUAAUCUGCAUGUAACGAAGGCGUGUACUAACGUACAGAACCCUUUGAAAAGUCAGCGAAGAAAAUUCUCACAGAGCAAUUCCCUUUAUCUAGAGCUUCCAAUAUUAUAUGGAGCAUAUACACCAAGACAUGCGUGGUCGAUCUGCCAGAUACUGAGAACUGUUCAGGGUCCAGGCUCUAUGCUACUCGGCUCCUCAGGUGAUCCAGAGUAAACCCUUCGAGGACCUUGGCCAGUGGUGAUGUUAGAGUGAUUGGUCUCAAAUCCUCUUCCAACCGCGUUGGCGGGGAUACCUUGGGGGUCGGGGUGACGAUGGAAGUCUUUAAUACAUCAGGAACACAUCCUUCGUGUAAGGAACAAUUAUAUAGGUCACUUACAACCGGGGCCAGUUCUUGUGCAAAUUCUUUCCAGACCCGGGAAGGAAUUUGAUCAGGACCAGGGGACUUGUUAGCCUUAAAGUGCCCAUGUCACCAAAUUUUUUAUUCUGCCGUAGGUUAAGGAUCACGUGAUAUCAGUUGCUAAUAAACUCGAGAGAGACUUGACCAAGAGUUCAUCGAGUGAGUGGAAAAAAAAGGUCAAAAAAAUGCCCGAAAGAUGUGUUGCUGCACGAUGCGAAACACAGCAGAUCCCGCAAAAUGAAUUAGUAUGUACAGAAUUCCUUUUCUUAACUCUGAAAACCCCACUGCACAGAGACGAAGGAAAAAUGGAUCGACUUCGUCUUGGCGAAGAGGAAGAACUGGCAGCCCGGAAAAACACCUUCAUUGUGUUCGAUAUACUUCAGAGGGGAAGAUUUUCAGUUUCGUUUGGACUCGAAAAUGAGACGAUGUUCGAAGACUGACGAAGUUGGGAUUUGUGUGAACCCUUUGAUCCAUGCUGGUACAGAAGUGGAAGAGCCCCCCUCUCAGCGGGAAAAGCGAAUGUUAUUAAGAUCUGCCAAGGCUCGAUUAAAGUCAUUAGAUGCAGAGGCUCAAACUUCAGUUUCGCCGGAUUGUAUGUUGUUGACACCAUGAAACGUGAUGCCUGCAAGUAGUCAAGAGUGUGACCUGCAAGCAGAAACCAGUCUCCCAAAAUGCGGUAGAUUCCAAUGCAACAUACGGCAAUUAUGAGAUAUGUUUUCUGUGUGAAAUCUUACACUGUGCGAUGAGAAGUAUGCCCUCAUAAAUUGAAGAGUUUUAACGCUGUUUAAGGAAAUUCUGAUUGAUUUGUGGUGCAAUUCACGAGGUAGUUAAAAUGACGGAUUUGUUUGUAGUAAA